rnacentral:rRNA from 1 species
UACAGAGACUGCAAGCGUUGUUCGGAUUUACUGGGCGUAAAGGGCGCGUAGGCGGUCGUGACAAGUCACUUGUGAAAUCCCCGAGCUCAACUUGGGAACUGCGUUUGAAACUACAAGACUAGAAUAUGUCAGAGGGGGGUAGAAUUCCACGUGUAGCAGUGAAAUGCGUUGAGAGAUGUGGAGGAAUACCAAUGGCGAAGGCAGCCCCCCUGGGAUAAUAUUGACGCUCAUGCAC